AUACGGAGGAUCCGAGCGUUAUCCGGAUUUAUUGGGUUUAAAGGGUGCGCAGUCGGCCAUUUAAGUCAGCGGUUAAAUCGUGGGGCUCAACCCCAUUCUGCCGUUGAUACUGGGUGGCUUGAUUGCGGUCGAGGUUGGCGGAAUUCGUUGUGUAGCGGUGAAAUGCAUAGAUAUGACGAAGAACACCGAUUGCGUAGGCAGCUGACCAGACCGCAAAUGACGCUCAUGCACGAAAGUGCGGGGAUCGAACAGGAUUAGAUACCCUGGUAGUCCGCACAGUAAACGAUGAAUACUUGUUUUCGGCGAUAUAAUGUCGGAGGCAAAGCGAAAGCGAUAAGUAUUCCACCUGGGGAGUACGCCGGCAACGGUGAAACUCAAAUGAAUUGACGGGG
rnacentral:rRNA from 1 species